GAUGAACGCUGGCGGCGUGCCUAAGACAUGCGAGUCGAACGAGAUCUUCGGGUCUAGUGGCGCACGGGUGCGUAACGCGUGGGAAUCUGCCCUUUGGUUCGGAAUAACAGUUGGAAACGACUACUAAUACCGGAUGAUGACGAAAGUCCAAAGAUUUAUCGCCAGAGGAUGAGCCCGCGUAGGAUUAGCUAGUUGGUGUGGUAAAGGCGCACCAAGGCGACGAUCCUUAGCUGGUCUGAGAGGAUGAUCAGCCACACUGGGACUGAGACACGGCCCAGACUCCUACGGGAGGCAGCAGUGGGGAAUAUUGGACAAUGGGCGAAAGCCUGAUCCAGCAAUGCCGCGUGAGUGAUGAAGGCCUUAGGGUUGUAAAGCUCUUUUACCCGGGAUGAUAAUGACAGUACCGGGAGAAUAAGCUCCGGCUAACUCCGUGCCAGCCGCCGCCGUAA
rnacentral:rRNA from 1 species